AAGUCGUAACAAGGUUUCCGUAGGUGAACCUGCGGAAGGAUCAUUAGCGAGUAAGACCCUGCCCUAGUGGCUUGGUCAGUCCCAUCAUAUACACCUUUAUUCGUGAACUCGUGGUUCAGCUGGAUGAUGAAAGCUUCGGCGACUAGACGUCCAUCGGUUCCGCUCUUAUACCCUUUAUGUGAAGUCAAUGGAAAUUAUGAUAAUCUAAUACAACUUUCAACAACGGAUCUCUUGGCUCUC
rnacentral:misc_RNA from 1 species